AUUGAACGCUGGCGGCAGGCCUAACACAUGCAAGUCGAGCGGAUGAAGGGAGCUUGCUCCUGGAUUCAGCGGCGGACGGGUGAGUAAUGCCUAGGAAUCUGCCUGGUAGUGGGGGAUAACGUCCGGAAACGGGCGCUAAUACCGCAUACGUCCUGAGGGGGAAGGUGGGGGUUUUUGGAACCUCCCGUUAUCGAUUAACCCUAGGUCGGAUUAGCUAGUUGGUGGGGUAAAGGCCUACCAAGGCGACGAUCCGUAACUGGUCUGAGAGGAUGAUCAGUCACACUGGAACUGAGACACGGUCCAGACUCCUACGGGAGGCAGCAGUGGGGAAUAUUGGACAAUGGGCGAAAGCCUGAUCCAGCCAUGCCGCGUGUGUGAAGAAGGUCUUCGGAUUGUAAAGCACUUUAAGUUGGGAGGAAGGGCAGUAAGUUAAUACCUUGCUGUUUUGACGUUACCAACAGAAUAAGCACCGGCUAACUUCGUG
rnacentral:rRNA from 1 species